UCUGGAUAAUAAGUGUCUAUCGGGAUACCGCGAUGGUUGUCACAGGCUCGAGGGGAGUACCGAGUCGUGACAACCCCAAUAGUGCAAAGUAUAGUGAAACUCCUCGGAUCCUUGAGCUUUGGUGGGAGCUUGUUUUAAAUUAUGGUGGUGCCACAGUUUCAUACUCGCCAAGUCUUCUUUUUUGGUUAAGAUAUCCUUCAAAAACUUGACAUAUGAGGGCAUAUGCUCCUAUGCUUCAGCAAAAGAGUGAUGGCCUUCACAUGCUCUUUUCCUUAUCUUCUUGGCUUUGGCUUCGUGUCGCUAGGCAAUGUUCCAUGAGGCUUACCAUUGACAGCAUUGGGUAAUUGCCCCACUUGAGUCUCGAGAUUUUUCAACGAGGCUACUUGAUUGUGAAUAAGAGCAUAUGUCUUCGCCAUGUAUUACAUGAGUAACUCCUCCAUGGAAAGCUUCUUUUCUUGCAUUGGGGGUCUAGGUUGUUAUGGAAAACUCUAAGGAAAAUGUGGAAGCGAAGUUGAUGAAGAUCCCUACUAGCCGCCCCGAGAGAAAUUUGGGUGGUUUCUCUACCUUGGGUUAUAAGUAUUUGCAUAUGGAUUAUUUUACUGUGGAAAGUUUUGUUGCUUUUCACCAACAAAUUGCACUGACUCUGUACUCAUAGAAUAAUGAUUGGUAACAUGCCCAUCCUUACAAUAAUCACAAGAAAUAGAGGGACUUUGUACAAAAUGGACUCUGUAAGCAUCAAUUUUCUUAGUGAGAGCAACUACUUGAGCUGUCAGAGCAUUGAUAACAUCCAGCUCGUGAACACUAGCAACCUUUCUUAGCAAGGCCUUCUCGGAAUGCCAUUGAUAGUUGUUGGAGACCAUCUCCUCUAAGAGGUCAUAUGCAUCAUCAAUCGACUUUUCCAUGAGAGCAUCUCCACUUGCUGCAUCGAUGAUAGUUCGAAUCAAGUUUAGCAGCCCAUUGUAGAAGGUUUACACUUACAACCACUUGGGGAGACCAUAGUGUGGACAUUUCUAACGCAAGUCUUUAUACCUUUCCCAUGCUUUGUAUAAAGAUUCGAAAUCAUAUUGUGUGAAGGAAUUGAUGUCGUU